GCUCGAACUCCCGGACCGCGAGAUCGUGACCUGGCUGAAGUCGGACGCUUAACCGACUGCGCCACCCAGGCACCCCAACUACUGUAUUUUUUAAAUGAGCUUCUUGUAGUGGAAGUUGCUAUUAUUAAUGUAGUGUUUAUAAUGUCCAGUUUAACUGUAAGUACUAAUGCUUUGAUACCUGGUAAUGAUGCUCAUAGAGUCACUUUUAGGGACUUGGAAAGUGAUAAUGUUGUAUUAUGUUUAAUAAUAACAAGUUUUAAUUUGAAUCUUACAGACCUGAGGACUUUGGUAUGAAGAGGAAUGCUCUUUUGCUCUUUUCUCAGCCCAGUGCUCACUUACGUUUGAUAAGUAUUGAAGUACCAGAAAUCAGAGUUCUUGGUUGCUUUCUGGCUCAGCUAAAAACUGACUGGCUAAUUCAGGCAGAAAUGGGACUAAUUUUAAAAAGUUUCAGAGGGAAGACUUUUAGGAUGCUAAAAAUGUUUUAUAAUUGGAUCUAGGUGGAGACUUCACAGGUGUUUACAUAUCAAGUUCCAUACUUAAGAUUUUUGCCCUUUAUAUGAGUCAUACCUCAAUAUUUUUUUAAUGAGGAAUCUGGAGGAAUAGACUUGGAAAAAAUAAGCAGAGCUAAGAGAGGCUAGGUGAUCAGAAUGACAGCAACCAGGGCUGACUGAUUAGGGUGCUGCUGUUCUCACCACUGGCACCAAGCACAAUCCCGUGCACACCACUGGAAUUAGUUUUGGUUUUUUUUUUAAUUUUUAAAAAACGUUUGUUUUUGAGAGAGAAGACUGAGUUGGGGAGGAGCAGAGAGCGAGGGAGACAGAAUCCGAAGCAGGCUCCAGGCUCUGAGCUGUCAACACAGAGCCCAAUGAGGGGCCUGAUGUCGCAAACCCUGAGAUCGUUAUCUGAGCCAAAGUCUGAUGCUUAACCAACUGAGCCACACAGGUGCCCCUGGAAUUGGUUAUAGUGCAUCGUUCCUGAUUCAAAGUCCCUGACAGAAGCAUCAGAUUGUGCCCCAGCUUCCAGGUGUCAGGGAGGGAGCAACUAGCUAGCAUCCUUUCCCUGGAAUUUACACAACAGUAAAUUCUAUGAAUUUAAGAAGGGGCUUCAGAUGCCAGGCCGCCUGACAGUGACAAAUAUCACACUUUCCUGUCUUCAUCUUACCCUAUUGCCCCCAAACUGGAGUCUCUCUCACUCCCCUUACCCAACCCAUCAACAGUUCUAUGAUAUAUCCUGAAACUGUGCACUUACUUGUGUCACUACUACACCCUAGACUCAAGCCACCAUCAUCUCUCAAUCUCUUACUGCUUGUUUCUUCUCUUUGCUAUCACUCUCCUCUCUCCACGCUCACAAUCCAUCCUGUCCACAGAAGCCAAAGUCAUCUUUAAAAAAAAAGAUAAACUGCUAUAUAAUUUCUUCAGCCUCUUCUCUCAGCCUGAAUUUCUUCAGUUCUCUACCAACACUGAGGACUUGAUUGCUGCCUUAGGAUCUUUGCACUUGCCAUUUUCUCUUUGUGGAGUGUUCCUCAUCCAUAUUUGACUUGAGUGGUUAUUUUUUUGUCAUUUCAUUUGUCUGCUCAAAUGCCACUUCAGAGGCUGCCUCUGAAAACCCAGUCAGUAGCCUGUCUUGAAAACUGGGGGAGGAAGAAGGUAGAGAUUUGUCGCUUGGAGCAAGUACCAAAUAGUUAUGGUACUAUUUGAUUAAACGAUGGACAGUUAUAACUUUAGAAAAUUUACCUUUAAACCAAAUUUAGGAAGAAAAACUAAAAAAAAAGCGUAUCUGCACCCUUACAUAUCUAGUUCACUGCCAUCUGCCUAAGAUUUGUAACAGAAGAUGUUCAGUUAAUUAUUAAUAAAUGAAUGAAUACAAAAGGAUUCUCAGAGAAUGGUUGCCCUUUUGUCAGGAAAAGAUUAAGGGCCAUGAGAUGCAAUGUGUAUGUAAUUAUUCAAAUAUUUACUGCUGAGUAGUAAUUAUUUGUGGUUAAGAAAGUUAUCUUUUUUUUUUUAUGACUGUGUUUCUUGUGGAAGGGGGAACAGCCUUCGGAAAAUUAGUAACUUAAAAAUUUAGUGGGUUGGUAAAUUUUAGGCAAUAGUUUUGUUUUUGUUUUUUUUUUUGCUGCAGAAUUGCAAUGUUUCAAUAGAAACAAUUGUUUAAAUAUUAUGUAUAUGAAAAAAAGUGUUUCUCGCCAUAAGGAAGGUUGGUCUCUGAGAGAGCUUUUGUUAAAAUGGGUCAUUUAUUUGUUUACAGAAAUCAUGAGCAAAAAAAAUCCUGAUUCAUUUUAGUGUGCACUUUUUGUUAGAACUGGAAAAACCUAUUUUCCAUUUUAGUAAAAGAAAAUAUUUUCAUAAAGUUGAAUGAACCCUAUAAGUAAGACUCUUACUAGAAAGAGUCUAUUAGAAUAGCAGAGACAAUUUGGGGGGACAGACACUACAUUUAAUGUUUUUUAUCUUUCUCAAUGUCAGGUGUUUGUUUUAAGCAAGUGAGAAAAUGCCUACAUACUUCCCCUGGAUGGGGUUAACUUAAUCCUUAUCUGUUUGAUAAGGCCACUGGCAUGCUUUUAAGUCAUUUGAGUUAAUCUGGGUUUUUUGUUGUUGUUUUGCUUAACGGAGGUAUUUAUGAAGUGAAAACUUGGUGUUGGCCUCAACAUUCUACAUUCUUCUUUGACUGGAAACUCCUCUAAGGAGAGUUUAAAAUUCCAACUUCAGAAAAAUACAAUGACCAUUAAAUUCAGAAAAGGGAAAGUGCCUCACAUUCAAGACAUUUUUUGUGAAAGUUAGGAGAGACCGCAAGCCUGCAGCUCACUUUUUCUCAUAGCUGCAGAUACUGAACAGUGACCCCUUGUUCUUGACCUUUGUUCAAGAAAAGGGCUGCAGGUUGCCAACAUUUGCAGUCUCUUUUUGACUGACUUUCCCCUGCCCUGUAGCCAUUGUAAUGCUCACGUUUUAACCUAAGGGCAAAUUUGAAUCAUUAGGUAAGUGACAACAGCUUGUCUAAACUGGUAGAUAAGAAAUGUCAAAGCAUAAGGUGCCAUCUGUCCCAGGUUAUGAACCUAUGUUUGAUCUGUACUCAGUGUCAAAACUCACCUGUAAAGUCAACCAAACUAUAAAGGAAGGCAUGUUAGUAUCUUUUUCCAUUGACAUCAUUCGUUACGAACGUUUUCAAAUGUAAAGAAAAGUUGAAAAUUAUGCAGUGAAUGCCCAUAUAUCUACCAGCUAGAUUCUAUAAUUGUAAGCCUUUUGUUACAUUAGUUUGAUCAUAUAUCCAUCUACCCACCAUUAUCUGUCUUAAUUUUUGAUACAUUUUAAAGUAAGUCACAGACUUCAGUUUACUUCACUGUAAGUGUCAUUUUGGAAGCCAAAAAAAAAAAAAAAAAAAAAAAAGGAGAUGAACUUGUGUGAUUAUAAUUAACUCCUAAAAGAGUCACAAAAUAUGUGAAUUUACCACAAAACCUAGAUUUCAUCAUGGUUAGAGAGAUCUAACAUGGCUAUUAAUAGCCUCUAAAUUAAUGUAUAUUUUGGGUUUUUUUUCAUCUUUUCCAUAUGACUUUUAGCUAUCCCAGACUACUAUCAUUCACAGACAACCUCCAGAAUUUCUAUCAUAUUCAAGUACCAUGUGUAAUAUUUUCUUAUUCUCUCUAAAAAAUUUUAUUUUCAGUUAAAUUUAUUUUUAGAGUACAACUUCAUAUUGCCACCAUAAAUGGAAAACCAGCAUGAUUUGUCAUAAACAAGUUGGCCAUAUUUUUUUUCUAUACACAAAAGUAAGUUCAUAUUGUAUACCUUGGCUUGCAUACUAAGGGAAAUACCAAGUUAUAGCCCCCAUCCUUCCCCCUUUCCUUUCACAAAUAUUGGGGCACAAGAAAAGUCAAAUCUGCUUUGGAGGUUAGACACACAGAUGAUAUUAGGCUGUUCUCUUUUUAAGGGACAAAAACACUACAUCUAGACUUGCCUAAGUCUCAUCUUGAGCUGACAAUGGCAAGAGAGAGCAGGGUGAGGAAGGGUCUGUCUGAAGCCCAUCUGAGAUUGUGUCCCAAGUGGAAUACAUUCCUCAUGAGCCCUGUGUUUGUCAACCCCAGCUGCUCUGCAGACCCCACACUGGCAGGAACAGAGCCAAAGCCUAAUCCUUGCAGCUUGAGGUUUGGGGACCUAUCAGAGCCAUGGCUCUGACCAUAUUUUCUUUUUCAUUUUGUUUCCUCUCAUUGUUUUAACCCUCUCCUACCAACCUAUCUUCCCCAAACCCCCUCUAUGUUAACAUAGGUGUGGUAGGAGACCAACAACAUACCUAUUUUUCCUUCCUGAAAUUAGAACCAAGACCUAGGAGCCAGACAUAUGGAGAUCAAAAUACCAGAUUUACCAUGGAUGAAGUGACCAAAUGUCACAGGAUGAACUUUGGGAUCCUUUGUCAAAUGGAACAGGAAAUAGAAGUGUGUAUUGGCAGCCAAAACCAACAUGCAAGGAUUUUCCAGGAGGUUAGCUUCUCAGCUUGAGCCCCAGUGUGAACUGAAGAGCCCUCGGAGAGAACUCAUCCCAGAAAAGGGGGAGACAGCACACUGCAGUGGCCUGAGUUCCAAAGCCUUGGAGUCCGAGAAAGAACCUUUUUCUUAGAAGAGGAAAUUCUCCUUCCUGCCUUGUUGAUAAGAACAUGGGGUUCCUAGCAAAUCAAGAAGGACUGGGUCCCAGUAACGGCCUCAUCUUUACUCAGUUAAACGAACCUCCAGAAGGUUGUGUGGGGUCUUUCCAUCUGCCUGGCACUGCUGAGUCCAUUUGGGGACACACAUGCCCCUGAGCUCCAGAAGUGGCCCUGAGUCUGCACCAGAACAGAAUAUUUUUCCCUCACAGCAUCUGCCCCACAUUUCUCCAUCAGGAUGUUUGUCUACAUACUUACAAUUACUCAGGUGAGUCUUUGCACAUUUCUUUUAAAGCUAUUUAUAGCUCAAGUAAAUCCUACCACAGAAAAUUCCUAACCCUCUCUUUCUAAUUUCUAAUCCCUAAUCCCAGCUACUUCAGGAAUAUUCUCAUCCCUCUGUGCUCUCUCUUCCAUUUGGAGCAAAUAUAUAAUAAUGUAAUGUAAUGUAAUGUAAUGUAAUGUAAUGUAAUGUAAUGUAAUGUAAUGUAAUGUAAUAAUGACACUUGUACAACAAAGGGAAAAAAGCAUUAAGUUUGGAAUUAGAACUACACAUUCUAAAAAAGGAAAGUCAUCAAUAUCGAAAGCUCAUUCAUACUUUCCAUACAUAUUCCAUCCACAGCUAUAUCUUUCUCAAAUUAAAAUUGCUUUUCUUCAGGCUCUGCUUUUCAAGAAAAGUGCAAGCAAUUUCUCUUUCAAUUACUUUCAGUUUUGUUUGCUCAUGGGUAUUAAAAUACUGUUUCCUACUAGAUGCGAAACAUGCAGAAUUUUGCCUACAUUAGGGGCAAAAUUAGCAUUUCUAGCUAACGGGAGAGCCUACUGAUUUACAGAGAACUGCUCAUGCACAUGAAUAGUUAUUAUACAAAUCAUUGAUAAGUUGCAGCUUGCUAAUACAUGAACAAAUGUCAAUCUUGAGUUCACAAAAAUUGUGAUUUUGGGCUUGACCUAAGCAGGCAUCAUAAUAAUCCUCAAUGAAAGAAUCAGUUGGUUAAAUGAAUACAUAAAUUAUAAAGUCUUAUGCUAACUUGAGCUCCUCCACUUUUUGAGUGUGUGUAUAUAUGUAUGCAAAUGCAUGUACACAAUGUGAAGUAUAUAUAAGCUAAUAGAAUGGACUAAACUGCGUGUUACUCACCU